rnacentral:lncRNA from 10 species
GGGGGGGCAAGGUGUAGUCAGUAAAGAUUUUCCAGAGGAAGUUACAUUGAAGAUGAGACCUGAAAAAUUGUAAACAUUUGCCAGGUACUUGGCAGUAUUGGUAAAUAUGCCAGCAGAAGAGAAAAUAAGCAUGAAGGCUCAGAGUGGAGAGGGCACACAUCACCCUUUCAGUAAACUAAAGAACUUAAACUUGACUGGAACUAUCAAGGAGAGACAAAGUCGUAAAAGAUAAAGUUGGAGAAGCAAGUAGAGUGAGGCUUAGCCAAGGAAGAGUUUGGACUUUAUCCUAAUGACAAAGUGAAGACCUUCAAAGUAAUUUAAGCAGGAGCAGCAGGAUCACUCUAGAAAGAUCACUUUGGGGUUGUAAGGUGAUGUAACUUGCAGCAGACAGACCAUUUAGGAGGCUAUCAGAAUAGUACAUUUGAGUUCACGAUGGCCUGAAUUAAAAUAAUGGUAUUUAGUUGUUGGGGGUGGGGGAAUUGGGGGAGAGGUGAUGUAAGGGAAGAGAAAGUGUCAGAAAACGAUUUGUUUUGAGCAACUGGGUAGACAGAUGAUUCUCUGAGAGGAAACAGAAAUAAAAACAGCUUGUGUAUGUCAGUGUGUAUGUAAAGGGUAUAGUUCAGAUUGUACAUAUCUAAGGUAGCUUGCAAGCUAUCCAAGUGAGAUAAACUAUAAGACCUAAAAAUAUGGGUGUGAAGCUCAGCAGAGAGCUGUAAGCUAAAGAUCUGCAAGCCAUCUACAUAUAUAUCAAGAAAAGGAAGCCACACAAGUGGCUGAAAAAACUUAGGCUGACUCUGUAGAGUGGGAAGGAAGCAAAUCCCUAGGGCAGAGAGUCACUAGAAACCUUGAAACUGGGAAGGGCCAGAGAGGUAAGAAGGGAACUUGGCUAGAAGAUGUCACAAACCUCAAGGUAAAAGAGGGGGUGCAUGAAGAGAGUGGGCAGCCAAGUUACAGGCUUCCAAAAGACAAAGACAAAAAUGUUUGUUGGGAUUAGUAAAAGGUCAUGGGUGACUUUGGUGAAGAGCAGUUUCUCUAAAUCAGUAAGGCUAAAGGCUAGAUUAGAACAGGUUGAAGAAGGGGAGGCAGAAUGGAGGCAACUCAAGAGGCGACGAGCGGGUGGAUCACAGAAAGGGGAGGAUUUUUUAAAUUUUAAAUUUGUUUUAAAUUUUAAAUUUUAAGGGAUUUGCCAUUCAAAUGCUGGUGGAAAGAAGCCAGUAUUAUGUGGAAAAAAUAUAGAUAGUGACAAUACUGUACUACAAAGAAUGUUGAAGAUUGAAGACAGAGAAAAAAUAUUCAAAAGAGCAAGACCCUUGGAAAACAGAGGGAAUAUAAUAUAAAUGGUGAGGUUAGCUUUCAUGGUAGAAGAAACCCAAUAUGUAAUGGAAAUGCUCCAGUGAGUCCUGAAUGACCACUUGCCAAAAAUGGUGUAAGUGCUGCUCUGAAACGGUGCUCCCCAUCCCCAGACUGGAAGAGCUGGUGGAGCACAACGGCUCAGACCCAUGUCGCUCUGGACCCAGCGACAUGGGUUUCUAUACUAGUUCCACCACUAGCUGUGUGAUCCAGGGGAAGUUAGAAAAUUUUCUGUGUCUGUUUCCUCCAGUUUUUUCAAGAAUUAAAGUUUAUAAAGGGCCUCGAACAGUGUCUGACACAUAGUGCUGCUAUUUAAGUAUUCAUUGCUGUUAUUGUUUUAUUAGGUUUUUUACUAAACUUGCUAAGGAUCA